rnacentral:lncRNA from 7 species
AAAAGGUAGCGAUCCCUCAGCCCAGAGAAACACAGGGAGAGCAGUGUCUGGAUCCAAGAUGUGAAGACAUGCUGUGACAUGAUGAGUGAGGCACGGAGACCCAAAACGAACUGGGGAAUAUUGUUUCUGUAGGGAAAAAAAAAAAAAAAAAAGAAGAUUUCAGUUUCUGCAAACCAAAAUUGCUGAAUAAAAGGAGCUGAUCUUGCAACAUGUUUGUUGAGAAACCAUUAACGUGCUUCCCCGUUUAAGAGCAGCUGGCACAAGUGCACACGAGCUGGAGGCUGCGCAUGAAAUUAACUGAGAACAAACUGGCAGAGAUUAAGAUUGCAGUAAAUCCUCCCAUCAAAACCACCCAUCUUUGAGCGGGCCAUAAAUCUUCCCAUGGGACAACAUAAUCACUGAUCACUGUUGUAGCAGGCCACUGAGGUGUUAUGAAAGGACCUUCCAGUCUCUUGAGGAACAAGCAGCAAGAGCUGCUGUAUCAUUAUGUAAAUACCCAGUUUGUACAGUUAUAUAAGUCCCCAUUCCUGUGUCAGGAAGCUCAUUAAUGUAUCAAUAAAGAAGGUGGGGAUAGGAAGGUACGUGGGAUAGAAGCCACACACAUGCCAGCUUUACACCUUCUCCUUCAGGGGAGAGUGACUCAGAAGUUUUUGCCUUCCAUAUAUGCUUGCUCUGAAGUGGUUUCAUUCUGGCUUGAUCUGAUGGAGCAGGAGACAUUGCAAAGCAGCAUUUGCACUGGUACUGUCAGCCCUCCAGUGUGCAAUGAAUCUGGUGUAGACAGGCACCAUGGCUCUGCCCAAAAUAUGUUCAGAAACAUCAAUCACGGGGAUUACACAAUGUAUUUCAUAGCUAUUUACACGCAGAAAUCACACCUGCUGGGUUAAUCUUGUAGAAGCAAGUACAAUUAGAUGAUAUUAUAUGUAUAUUACAAAGGCUGAGCCAUGAGGCUCUGUGCCAAGCUCCGCUCUUGUAAACAGCAGUGAGAAUCCAGAGCAACUCCUUCAGCUUCAACGGAGAUCAUAUCAGGGCUAAGCCAGGAUUCAUAUCAAGGUUGCUUCCCCCUGACUACACAUGGUGUGCUGCCUUGCCUAAAAUGAACUCCAGGUGCCUUGCUUCUGGCAUGUUUAGAGAACAGUUACCUAAUAUAUACAUACCUGUACAUAUAGCUAUACAAUAUUGUAUUUGAAUUAUCAGUAAUGCUGGAAAUAACGUAACACCAAGAAUGUAUUAGUUCAGAUUUUACAUUUCAACAAGCACAUGUGAUCUUGUACAUGAUGGUCAUGCAGAGAGUUGAUUCAACUGUGUGUGCAAGAUCCCAAAGAGAAGAAGGGGAAAGGGAAUUUCGGUGAAGUGACAGAGGAGGUGACAUGGUGAUUUCAAGGUCACUCUUCUAAGCUAACAGUAGUUACAAGCAACACUCACAAUGACUACACUGGAAAAAAAAUCAGCAUUACAUACUGUGGUUUGGACCUUUGACGGUCCUUUCAAGGCAGUUUCCCCUUUUCCUAGUGUAGUCCCCUAAUGAGGAUAUCCUGUGGCUUGUGUAGGACAUUCAGACAGCAAGUGCUUACAGGGAAACUAUUUAUAGUCAAAUUUCCUACAGAUAUCCGGUUCUUUAUAUGAUUACAGAGCCUGGAGGCCUGUCUGUCUUUCUCCUUGUCCUCCAUGAUGACUUUUGGGCAGCUGCAGCCAUAUCAGAGAGAUGUAGAUUUUUCAAAAAUAUUGAAUCCCUACACAUUUUGUGAUGUUUUGACUGGUUGGAGGAGAAAGACCUAAAAUAUUGCUUUUUAUCUGAGCUCUGAACGCUACUACUGGACAUUAAGGGAAGCCACUCUGGAGAAGCAAGUUUAAAUAUUCCAGUCGUAGGAAAUGACACAGCUCAGCACCCCCUUAACAAGAAAUGAUCAGGUCAGCUCUCAAGAUUUCAUAGAAACACUUGAAAACACAUAGCCCAGAGCAUGAGCUUGCAGCUGUCUGGCCAGGAAGCACAAACUCCUAGCUUUGUGCCUCCUUGUUCUGAUCAUUGUGAAGUUUAAAGUUGACAGACUGGGUACUGACAACAAACAGCUCAAGUGCAUUUAAUUUAGAAUUGUGGA